CAACACACUGUCCUCGCCAUAGCUCUGGUAGGAUCCCCGGGGCGGCUCUCGGUCGAGAGCAUCUGCCCCUGGCUAUAUAUGCCGUCCACGACCUCGUCCAACCCCACCACUCGCCUCCUUCCUCACUCAAUUGACUCCCAGCGCCACCCACUCGAGCCGUAGCACUCUCCUUCCCCAACUCCGGUGAGAAGCCCCGCUACUCGCCCUCUGCACUGCUAGCUUGCUCCAGUUGACCCUAGCUCCAACCAGUCUCUCCAUGGAGUCCCUAGUGGUCUUCUGAACCUCCCUAACCCCUUUGCUACUCGGAUUGUCGCCGGAGUCACCAAAUCCGAGGAUCACUGCAGCUCGCAGCCGCUGGAUGCGCGUUCGUCGCCGCUCGACCACCUCUCUGAUGUGGCCGGUAGUGCUGAAGCUAUAGUCGACGAAUAUAUGUUCUAUAUUGGUUCUGUUCUCGUGAAAAUGCCAGCAGCUGAACCAGAAAUGGAAGCGAUCAAGCAGAAUUUUAGAACGCCUUCUUGCAAUUGGUGUUUAUUGGAAAUAAGUUCCAAUACGAUUCCAUGUAGGGGCGUGAGGGCCACGUCUUCUUUUCGUUUUAUCUACUAGUAGUACCAGUUACGUAGCUAUGUGGUUCGUUUGUUAGGGGAUCGAUGUGGCCGAAUAAUUAGUUAGUUAAUAUUUUGUUUAGUCCAAAUAGGUGAGUUAUAAAGAGUCCUACUCGGUUCGGUUCUGUGCCUGCGCACAUGUUAUAAAUAAAGGCUUUGCCCGUGUAUUAGGGGCAGAUCAGUUUUUGUUAUCGCGAGAUUGAUUUUGUUCGAGAGUUAUAGAUACAGAGAAAACGUCUCAUGUCGGGGGACAUCAAAUAUUGUCUUUGUUGCUGAUUCAUAUUGUUGUUGCUGCAUGUGGAGUUGAUCUAGUCUACUCAAUGCUAGUUUUUAAUCUUACGGUCUUGCAUUUUUGCUCGAUCGAAAUUUUUUGUUAUUGCUGCUAGUACUGUGAACGACUGGACUGACGAACACUCACCAUCUAGGCGAGUCUUUAUCAAGUGGUAUGAGAGCUAAGGUUGUUCACGAUACUGUGUUGAUCGAGAUGUCGACCUCGAUCGACAAGGAUGACGGGACUGCUGCUUAUUCUGAGGAAAUUGUACGUUUAGUGUAUGCGAAUGGCAUUCCUAAAAAUAUUCGGGAUGAUUAGACGUAUGCGAAUGGCAUUCCUAAAAAUAUUUGGGAUGAUUUUGACCACACAUGCAACUACGUCAAACAAUGUCAUGAUGCAGUCGAGGUGAAUUUUGGCAAAAUGAUUGAUGUUCUGAUCCUCGAGUUUGAUGUUUUGGCGGACACCAUCAAUACGCUGACGAUUGAUUCCACACCACCAUAGGCUACUCCGGUUGCUCCACUUCGUUACGCAACACUGGCUCGUGGCUGACAUGCCGGCGUGCAUGAUCGCCGUUUCGCGGCACAACCACAUGCUGGAGAUGAUAACCUCGAUGACGGCCUGCGUCGGGGUACGUGCCACGACCACGACACUUUGAGCCCUGUCCUGAAGUUUUCGCUCGUGGCGGUGAUGAGGACAUCAAUACCAUUGUUACACCCACAGCCCCUACUGCUACAUAUACGGGACCAAUUACUAGAGCUCGCGCACGCCAAUUAAAUUAUCAGGUACUUUCGUUUCUUGGUAAUGAUUCUAAUGUUCAUGAGAAUAUGAUGCUGCCUAAAUUGGAUAUAUUUGUUUUGCUUACAAAUGAAGGGCCUAGCUUGGAGAAGGAUGAACAUUGGAGCAAGAACAAGCAUGGAGAUGAUGCCAUGCGCAAGGGGAACAGGAACGGAGUUACAAGUGAUGAUUUCAGGACUUUGAAGCCACCGUAAUGGGUGCAUGAAGCCUUGGACGAAAUAUACAAGAUGCCACUUCAUAAAUUUCGUCCCGAGGCUAUUCUAGGUGCUGCGUCACCUUAUUAUUGGGUCAGACCCUUGUAAUUUUGAAAUACAUAAGUAUAGGCUAUUUUUAGAGUCCGUAUGUGUGGGGAAACAAGAGAUAGGGUUGAUUUCGGACCCCUCCACCAAGGGCCACGAAAUUCCCCCCUCUUCCUCCAUAUAUACAGCCCUUAGGGCACCGUUUAGACUUUGGGUUUUGUUUAGAUUAAAGUUCGCCAUAGCUGCAACUUCGCGUACUUUGUUUGUGUUCAACGACCAGACAAAGGCGUCACAGAACCCCACCUUGAUCAAUAAAGCUUUCAUCUUAUAUUCGCA
rnacentral:rRNA from 1 species